UGCUGCAACGCGGUGGAAGGAAAGUGGAGAAAUUUGGCAAAUUUUUCUCACCCACACAGUAAAAAGUUGCGAGAGGCGGGAAAAAAGAGUGGCUAGUUCCCCCUCGCCGCUCCCCCUUAUUCCUGGGGUUGCUUUGGCCGGUUCGCCAACCAAAAAGUGGUGGAAUGGGGACCACCAGCUGGAGUACAGGGAAUCCGUGCAGUGAGUCGCGGGAACCAACGAAAGAGGAAAAAACUACGGAGUCUCAGUACUCUGACGCGCUUGCUUGAGCUUUCUUCCUGGCCAUAGGCGUUGCGGCUUAACGCGACGACGAAGACAACGACAACGACAAUAACGACGACGACGAGGACGACAACGACAACGGCAACGACGACGGGGAAGAGGGAAACAAGGAUUAAACCUGCGACGGGGUUUUUUUUAUCUAG